rnacentral:rRNA from 1 species
UACGGGGGGAGCAAGCGUUGUUCGGAUUUACUGGGCGUAAAGGGCGCGUAGGCGGUCGUGACAAGUCACUUGUGAAAUCUCCGGGCUUAACUCGGAACGGUCAAGUGAUACUGUCGGACUAGAGUACAGAAGGGGCAACUGGAAUUCCCGGUGUAGCGGUGAAAUGCGCAGAGAUCGGGAGGAACACCCGUAGCGAAGGCGGGUCUCUGGGCCGAUACUGACGCUGAGGAGCGGAAAGCGUGGGGAGCGAACAGG